rnacentral:lncRNA from 1 species
UAUCCUUGACCUUUGGUAGUUUGAAUCUUAAAUGUCUUCUGAUGGUCUUAUUUGGGUUAAAUCUGAUUGUUGUUCUAGAACUUUCUUGUAUUUGGAUAUCAAGAUCUCUAGCAAGCAAUGAAAACCAGCAGCCUACAAUCCCAGUGAAACCCAUGGUUGCAUCCACCAAAGAGAAAAACAGGAGUUCCUUCAAAGAAUGUUUC